rnacentral:rRNA from 1 species
CAGUAGCCGCGGUAAUACGUAGGGUGCGAGCGUUAAUCGGAAUUACUGGGCGUAAAGCGUGCGCAGGCGGUUCGUUAAGACAGAUGUGAAAUCCCCGGGCUUAACCUGGGAACUGCAUUUGUGACUGGCGAGCUAGAGUAUGGCAGAGGGGGGUAGAAUUCCACGUGUAGCAGUGAAAUGCGUAGAGAUGUGGAGGAAUACCGAUGGCGAAGGCAGCCCCCUGGGCCAAUACUGACGCUCAUGCACGAAAGCGUGGGGAGCAGACAGGAUUAGAUACCCCUGUAGUCCCUGUCUCUUAUAC